CGACAUGGGGCUGGAACUCACGGACUGUGAGAUCAUGACCUGAGCUGAAGUCGGACACCUAACCAACUGAGCCACCAAGGCGCCCCAACAAACCUCUUUCUGAGGGGAGUGAAAGGGAGAGGUCCUAUGCAGCCUGUCUGGUUGGGGACAGUGGAGGACAUGACUCCAGCCACUGGAUUUGGACUUGCAGGGUGAGAUCACAGUGUGAGCGGCCUCAUUCGGACAAGGCCGUCGCCGGACCGAGUGGUACCUGCGCCCGCCACGGGUGGGAGCCGUCACCGAGG